GACGAACGCUGGCGGCGUGCUUAACACAUGCAAGUCGAACGGAAAGGCCCCUUUGGGGGUACUCGAGUGGCGAACGGGUGUGUAACACGUGAGUAACCUGCCCUUGACUUCGGGAUAACUUCAGGAAACUGGGGCUAAUACCGGAUAGGAAUCCUUGCUGCAUGGUGGGGGUUGGAAAGCUUCGGCGGUUUUGGAUGGACUAGCGGCUUAUCAGCUUGUUGGUGGGGUAGUGGCUUACCAAGGCUUUGACGGGUAGCCGGCCUGAGAGGGCGACCGGCCACAUUGGGACUGAGAUACGGCCCAGACUCCUACGGGAGGCAGCAGUGGGGAAGAUUGCACAAUGGGCGGAAGCCUGAUGCAGCAACGCCGCGGGCGGGAUGACGGCCUUCGGGUUGUAAACCGAUUUCAGCAGGGGCGAAGCUUGUGGUGACGGUACCUGCAGAAGAAGCACAGGCUAACUAAGUG
rnacentral:rRNA from 1 species